rnacentral:rRNA from 1 species
UACGAAGGGGGCUAGCGUUGUUCGGAAUCACUGGGCGUAAAGGGCGCGUAGGCGGCUUUAUAAGUCGGGGGUGAAAGCCUGUGGCUCAACCACAGAAUUGCCUUCGAUACUGUAGAGCUUGAGACCGGAAGAGGUAAGUGGAACUGCGAGUGUAGAGGUGAAAUUCGUAGACAUUCGCAAGAACACCAGUGGCGAAGGCGGCUUACUGGUCCGGUUCUGACGCUGAGGCGCGAAAGCGUGGGGAGCAAACAGG